GAUCGUAGCUGUGGGGUGACAAAAUCAAACUCACACUUUGAAAAGCUCACUCAGGCUGCUGCGUAGCUGGGCAAGACGCUGGACACCAAGGGAGCCGUGGGGACGCGAUCGUGGGAGUCCAGGCAAGAGUGGGCUGAAUCCGCAGAAACAGAGCCCACAGAGAGGGAGGGCUGCCGGUGUACCCGACAGAGUUGCAGAGAGUCUCACUCUGUUGCCUGGCUAGAGUGCA